UCUCACCCUAGAGGUGUUGCAGGUGUGGCUACUGUGUCACAUGUGCAUUAGUGGGUGUCAGAGAGGAGAGGGGCUAUGUCUGUGCUCAGUGUUCUGACCUGUGAACAUACUGAUUAGUAGCCUAACGCU